rnacentral:lncRNA from 1 species
CCCAAAGGGAGGGAGUCCUUAGCAUGCUGGUGGGGCUGGGGCAGCCCAGUUGAAAAGCGCACAUGCUCCAUAUUUAGGUGGAUGGGUGUAUAGAUGUCGGUGGUCCAGGUACCACUACCCCCACAUCUUCUCCCUUGUAGGAUUGGAAUUGGUGACCUGGUUUGUGUUCUGAGGAUGACAGGUCAGGUAAGCUCGGGUAGAGAAAUCUUGAAUCAGACAAGAGAGAAUCCAGUCUUUUUCUUACCUGCUUGGCUGGCUUUGGAGCCUCUAGCUCAGGAUUUUUUCAUCAAGAGCCUUUGUAACCUCUCCCACUGCAGAUUACCUCAUGCUGUUGGAAAUCCAGGCCCCUGCUCUCACUCUAAAGGGGUGUCUUAUCUCUCACAAAGGACUGGAGACUCCUGCACAAGAGGGGCCUCAACUGCUUUUGUUUCACAACGUCCCCAUCCUUCCACAAAGACUCAAUGAUGGACUGACUAAAAAGCAUUCGGACCCAGGACACUUCUAUCUCUCCAGUACCCUCCUCCCAGAAGAGAGGAAGUACACAAGGUCCUUACUAGGGUUUUCUGCCCUCAUCUGCAAUCAUGUUGAUGUUCAUGAACUCCAGACAUUCUUUAGUAUAAAAGAAAUUGAGUGCCCAGGCAGAAGUGGGGGGGGGGGGGCUGAUGAGUCCUUUCCUCUCCUCCCCAUUACAGUUUUCACACCUGGAAGAAGGAUUCAGGCUGAAGUAAUAACUUCAAGGUGGGGGUUGGUUGGGGGAGGAGGGGGCACACACAUUUAGGGCAGCUGGGAUUCCUCUCACUAGCUGCAGUCCAGUUGCUCCCAGAGGUGGAGCCCCCAAAGCUUAUGUCCCUCCGAGGGUGUCCAGGCUCCAGUCCCCCUUCUCUCCUUUUCACUGUGGCCUCCCAAGCAUCUUUGCGCUGCCCCCAUGACCCCCAGCCGGCUUCACGCCUGGCUGCCUGGAAUCUGUAGCCGCCCUUGUUUUCUGGCCCAGGAAGGGGAUUUAAUGCUGGUGAGAGAUGGCAGGUUGACAGGCGCAGAGAUUAAAGCCCGAGGCUCUGGCCGAGAAGCAGGGUUGGCCUCCACAGAACCCCUGCCCC